GGCGGACGUAACCUAGUGGAUCAAGGCAGU
rnacentral:tRNA from 1 species